GAUGAACGCUAGCGGCAGGCCUAACACAUGCAAGUCGAGGGGUAGAGUUCUUCGGGACUUGAGACCGGCGCACGGGUGCGUAACGCGUAUGCGAUCUACCUUAUACAGGGGAAUAGCCCCAGAGAAAUUUGGAUUAAUGCCCCAUAGUGUUAUCGAAUCGCAUGGUUUGAUAACUAAAGUUCCAACGGUAUAAGAUGAGCAUGCGUCCAUUAGUUAGUUGGUAAGGUAACGGCUUACCAAGACAAUGAUGGGUAGGGUCCUGAGAGGGAGAUCCCCCANACUGGUACUGAGACACGGACCAGACCUCCUACGGGAGGCAGCAGUGAGGAA
rnacentral:rRNA from 1 species